UGAAAUGGCACUAUAACAAGACCUCAGGC
rnacentral:piRNA from 1 species